rfam:Medicago truncatula strain A17 chromosome 1, whole genome shotgun sequence.
AUGACGUGUAGCAUGCCCGUUUGUGGAAUUACUCUGAUGUAUAUAAGCUAUUUUAUUUGUUUUGGGUAACGGGGUGUUACACCUUU